UUUAAGUGCAACCAUGAGUUUCCGCGCUCAACUUUGAUCGUCCGUCUUAUUUAAAUUUUUUUUAUAAUUAGUAUUUUUGUUGUUAUGAGAUGAUAAAACAUAAAUAGUACUUUACUCGGGACUUAUUUUUUAAUUUUUUUUAAAAAAAUUUCAAAUAAGACGGACAAUCAAAAUUGGGCAGAGAAAACCAUGGCUGCACUUAAA
rfam:Oryza sativa Japonica Group DNA, chromosome 3, cultivar: Nipponbare, complete sequence.